rnacentral:rRNA from 1 species
UUAUGGCCAUAUCAUGUUGAAAUAUCGGUUCCCAUACGAUCACCCAAGUUAAGCAAUGUUGAGCUUGAUCAGUACCUAGAUGGGUGACUGCUUGGGAAUACCAGGCACU